GAUCCUGGCUCAGGAUGAACGCUGGCGGCGUGCUUAACACAUGCAAGUCGAACGAAGCACUUAAAUUUGAUUCUUCGGAUGAAGAUUUUUGUGACUGAGUGGCGGACGGGUGAGUAACGCGUGGGUAACCUGCCUCAUACAGGGGGAUAACAGUUGGAAACGGCUGUUAAUACCGCAUAAGCGCACAGGAUUGCAUGAUCCAGUGUGAAAAACUCCGGUGGUAUGAGAUGGACCCGCG
rnacentral:rRNA from 1 species